CUUCAUAUAUAUAUAUGCACUUUAUAUAUAUAUGCAUCUUAGAUUGAGUUAGUACUUUAUAUGCAUACAAUGACAAUUUGUUCGUGGGAUGUUGGAGUAACACAAAAUAGCAAAAUGAUUGCUGGAUAAGGCGGUAGUGUCUCGUUCAACACGAACAUUUUGUCUCAGUAGUUCACGCGGUCCGACUUUGCUAAAGUUAAUCAAUAGGCAUAAUUUUCUACGUGUCAAGCACUAAUUCAAACAUUUUUCAUCCACCUAACGCUAAUCAAACAUGAGUUUGUUUUUAGUUCAUAGCAUAAAGAUGAUCAAUAGUUCAUAGCUAAUCAAUUGUUGGUAUAUGUUUAUGUAUUGUAAUUAUUGUGUG
rnacentral:lncRNA from 1 species